AACGCACCUUGCGCUCCUUGGUAUUCCGAGGAGCAUGCCUGUUUGAGUGUCAUUAAAUUCUCAACCUUCCAGCUUUUAUUAGCAUGGUUAGGCUUGGAUGUGGGGGUUGUGGGCUUCAUCAAUGAGGUCGGCUCUCCUUAAAUGCAUUAGCGGAACUUUUGUGGACCGUCUAUUGGUGUGAUAAUUAUCUACGCCGUGGAUGUGAAGCAGAUUUAUGAAGUUCAGCUUCUAACUGUCCAUUGACUUGGACAAUUUUGACAAUUUGACCUCAAAUCAGGUAGGACUACCCGCUGAACUUAA
rnacentral:misc_RNA from 4 species